GGGGAAUCUUCCGCAAUGGACGAAAGUCUGACGGAGCAACGCCGCGUGAGUGAUGACGGCCUUCGGGUUGUAAAGCUCUGUUAAUCGGGACGAAAGGCCUUCUUGCGAAUAGUUAGAAGGAUUGACGGUACCGGAAUAGAAAGCCACGGCUAACUACGUGCCAGCAGCCGCGGUAAUACGUAGGUGGCAAGCGUUGUCCGGAAUUAUUGGGCGUAAAGCGCGCGCAGGCGGAUUGGUCGGUCUGUCUUAAAAGUUCGGGGCUUAACCCCGUGAUGGGAUGGAAACUGCCAAUCUAGAGUAUCGGAGAGGAAAGUGGAAUUCCUAGUGUAGCGGUGAAAUGCGUAGAUAUUAGGAAGAACACCAGUGGCGAAGGCGACUUUCUGGACGAAAACUGACGCUGAGGCGCGAAAGCCAGGGGAGCGAACGGGAUUAGAUACCCCGGUAGUCCUGGCCGUAAACGAUGGGUACUAGGUGUAGGAGGUAUCGACCCCUUCUGUGCCGGAGUUAACGCAAUAAGUACCCCGCCUGGGGAGUACGACCGCAAGGUUG
rnacentral:rRNA from 1 species